CCUACGGGCGGCAGCAGUGAGGAAUAUUGGUCAAUGGGCGAGAGCCUGAACCAGCCAAGUCGCGUGAGGGAGUACUGCCCUAUGGGUUGUAAACCUCUUUUGUCGGGGAGCAAAAGCCGGACGUGUCCGGCUGUGACAGUACCCGAAGAAAAAGCAUCGGCUAACUCCGUGCCAGCAGCCGCGGUAAUACGGAGGAUGCGAGCGUUAUCCGGAUUUAUUGGGUUUAAAGGGGGCGCAGGCGGAUUUUUAAGUCAGCGGUCAAAUCGCGGGGCUCAACCCCAUCCAGCCGUUGAAACUGGGGGUCUAGAGUGUGCGGGAGGUAUGCGGAAUGCGUGGUGUAGCGGUGAAAUGCAUAGAUAUCACGCAGAACCCCGAUUGCGAAGGCAGCAUACCGGUGCACAACUGACGCUCAGGCACGAAAGCGUGGGUAUCGAACAGGAUUAGAUACCCGGGUAGUC
rnacentral:rRNA from 1 species